rnacentral:sRNA from 1 species
AUCCGUUAUGGUGCGGCUCCUGUUCGGACACAGGCCACUGCCCGGAAAUGUCGAGAGACACCAAUGGGUAGAACAGCCUCAGCCGGAUUAAGGCGUGGCUAACGUGGCUGGGUACCGUGGCAGACGGAUAUCUGCUGUAUCGCCGCUUCGCGCGUGCGUACGCCCUACGCCGAACAGUGCCAAAACCA